AGGUUACUGCUAUCGGUGUUCGCCUAAGCCAUGCGAGUCAUAUGUUCUUCGUGAACAUGGCGUACUGCUCAGUAACACGUGGAUAACCUGCCCUUGGGUCCGGCAUAACCCCGGAAAACUGGGGAUAAUUCCGGAUAACGCACAUAUGCUGGAAUGCUUUAUGCGUCAAAUGGAUUCGUCCGCCCAAGGAUGGGUCUGCGGCCUAUCAGGUAGUAGUGGGUGUAAUGUACCUACUAGCCUACGACGGGUACGGGUUGUGAGAGCAAGAGCCCGGAGAUGGAUUCUGAGACAUGAAUCCAGGCCCUACGGGGCGCAGCAGGCGCGAAAACUUUACAAUGCGGGAAACCGUGAUAAGGGGACACCGAGUGCCAGCAUCAUAUGUUGGCUGUCCGGGUGUGUAAAAUACACCUGUUAGCAAGGGCCGGGCAAGACCGGUGCCAGCCGCCGCGGUAACACCGGCGGCCCGAGUGGUGAUCGUGAUUAUUGGGUCUAAAGGGUCCGUAGCCGGUUUGGUCAGUCCUCCGGGAAAUCUGACGGCUUAACCGUUAGGCUUUCGGGGGAUACUGCCAGACUUGGAACCGGGAGAGGUAAGAGGUACUACAGGGGUAGGAGUGAAAUCUUGUAAUCCCUGUGGGACCACCUGUGGCGAAGGCGUCUUACCAGAACAGGUCCGACGGUGAGGGACGAAAGCUAGGGGCACGAACCGGAUUAGAUACCCGGGUAGUCCUAGCCGUAAACGAUGCUCGCUAGGUGUCACGGCAGUCGUGAAUUGUCGUGGUGCCGUAGGGAAGCCGUGAAGCGAGCCACUUGGGAAGUACGACCGCAAGGUUGAAACUUAA
rnacentral:rRNA from 1 species